AUAAAAGGGAUAUAUGAGGAGUAGGGAGGCUGUCCACGUCAGACAAUAAAAUCGACCAAUAAGGAGAUUCGUUUUUGACACGUCAUCUCGGCUGUGGGUUGUUGGGCUUCGAUUUUUUUUUAAAGAUAGAAUGUUAGUGUUGCUGGCCCAGUAAGCCCAUCUCCGUUGCUCCUCGCCUUCUUCGUUUCGCCUUUCGCGAUUUGAGAGUAGAUAGAUUCGACGUUUUCCUUUUUCAUUUCUCCAAACCCUAAUUUUCUAGAUCUAUUCGUGUUGAGAGAGAUGGCAUCCGUGGGGAUCAAGAAGGAUGUGGUGACUUACAACGCGCUUCUCGGAGGUUACGGGAAGCAGAGAAACUACUUCGAAGUGAAAAACGUUUUCGCCGAGAUGAAACGGGAGCGCGUGACGCCGAAUCUGCUGACUUACUCCAUGUUGAUCGAUGUCUACUCGAAAGGAGGGUUGUACAAGGAGACGAUGGAGAUAUUUAAGGAGUUCAAGGGCGCGGGGUUGAGAGCUGAUGUUGUUUUGUACAGUGCGUUGAUCGAUGCGUUGUGCAAGAAUGUGUUGGUGGGUUCUGCUGUUUCUUUGAUCGAUGAGAUGACUAAGGAAGGGAUUAGUCCUAACGUUGUGACUUAUUAUUCUAUAAUUGAUGCUUUUGGUCGCUCUGCGACGGUGGAGUACUUUGCUGAGUCUGGAGAGGGUGGAGGUGGAUCGUCCUCUUUGCUACCUUCUUCUUCUCUAAGUAAAUUGGCUGAAACAGAGGAUAAUCAGGUGAUGCAGAUAUUUGGGAAGUUAGCGAUAGAGAGUAGUAACAGGGGGAGAAGGAUUGUAAGGAGGGUAUGCAUGAGCUCUCCUCUGUAUUGGAAGUUAUCUGCACGAUGCAUCAGCUGGAAAUUAAACCAAAUGUUGUUACCUUCUCCGCCAUUCUGAAUGCUUGCAGUCGGUGCAACUCAUUUGCAGAUGCAUCGGUGCUGCUAGAGAAGCUCAGGCUGUUUGAUAGUCAGGUGUAUGGUGUUGUUCAUGUACAAGGGACAAAGAGAGAAUGUGUGGCUCCAGGCUCAGAGUAUUCGACAAAGUGAACGAAAUGGAUGGUUCCACAGCUGCUGCUUUUUACAAUGCUCUUACGGACAUGCUCUGGCACUUUGGUCAGAAAUGAGGAGCGCAACUGGUGGCGCUUGAAGGAAGAUCUAGACAAGUUUGGGAGAACGUGUGGUCUGAGUCUUGCUUGGACUUGCACCUUAUGUCUUCUGGUGAUGCACGUGAAAUGGUCCAUGCUUGGUUGCUUAACAUACGCUCCAUUGUCUAUGAAGGUCAUGAGUUACCUAAACUUUUGAGGUAGUUUUGAUACCAAAGCAUAUCACUAUUGUCAUGGAAUAUGCUGUUGGAGGUGGACUAUUUGACCGUAUAUGCAGCGCUGGAAGAUUCAAAGAGGAUGAAGUGAGCUAGGCAUUUAGAGAUGAGACUUUAUAUAUGGUCUAUGUCUAUCAAUAAUUUCAGAGCUGAGUUAUAUGUUGGCCAUGUUCGUCAGACAAAAGCUGCGGCAGCAAUGGCGAUCAAAAUACAACGUCAAAAUGAAGAAAUUUGGCCUAGGUAAAGUCGCAGCGAUCACUUAUUGUUCAGAUGAACACACAGUGUGAAUCGUUACAUAAAACAGCGGCACUCUCCGGAAUGAAUUUGUGUCGUCAGCGACCAUUUCUCUCUCAUCACUGUGAUCUUUUUUCAUUAAUUGUUCUGUUGUUUAUGUGCUUUUCUAACCGGCAGUCGCUGCCGCGACCUUUGUCCGACGAACAGGGCCGUUGUCUAAUGUAGUGUCAUCGGAAAGAAAUGGGAAUAUACUUCUUUUUUAAAAACAUGAAAAGGGAAUAUACAUUAAGGAGUUUACUUGAUAUAGAAAAGUUAAAAAAAAAAAUAAAAAGAAAAAGAAACCGAUCAUCAAUUAUGAUUGCUGUGUAAUGUGUUGUUAAUAUAAACUGCAUUGUUUCGUCUAACUGUGCUGAUUCUGUUUACGAUUCUGUCAUGUGUAAAAUAACAACUUUUAUAUAUUUAUCCUCGGCUUCCAAUUACGCGAAAGGGAAUGGUUUAAUUUGUCCAUUAACAAAAUAAAAAGAACCUUUUAAUUUAAUUGAGCAGAGUUGAAGAAGCAUUGUCAUUGCUUGACAAUCCAAAAGAGUCACUGUGAGAAGUUUGAUCUGUCAUGAAAGAGAAGACUUAAGUACAUGGAGAGGUAAAACGGGUUACAAACCAAAUUUUUCAACUUGUGAGACUUGGGAUAAAUUACGAGAGGUAAAUGAGAAUCAGAUGUGGGCUAAAGGGGUCUGGUUCUCUAUGGCGACUCCGAAAUUUGCAUUCAUAGUCUGGUUGGCUAUGAAGAAUAGAUUAUCUACUAUGGAUAGAAUCGCAAAAUGGAGCCAAGGAGUAGACACAGAGUGUGUGCUCUGUCAUGCUGAAGCAGAAACCCGAGAUCAUUUAUUUUUCAAAUGUUCCUACUCUGGCCAGUUAUGGAGGUACCUAGUUGGUGGGAUUCUUGGCAGUUCUUAUACGGAUGUUUGGAUUGAGAUAGUGCAGAAGAUGUCAGGUAGUACGCUGGAUAAGAAGAGCUUAUUUUGUUUGAGGUAUGCAUUUCAGGCUGCUACUUAUGCAAUUUGGCGAGAGAGAAACAGAGUGAAGCAUGGGGAGAGGCUAAUGCAUCUGGAUCUUCUAAAAAAGAUCACUGAAAAAGGAAUCAGAAACAAGCUUAGUUUGAUUAGAAGGAAGGGUGGGAGAGGUAUGGAGAAUGCUCUCCAAUAUUGGUUCCAAACAAGAGGAGUGUAGUUAAAAUGCAUAUUUGCUUGUUUUGAUUUUGUGGUUUGAAGUUUGAGGGUUAAGUAUAAUACUAGGACCACACAAGUUGUAAGAAGGCUUUUUUGAAUAAAUUUAAAAUUCAUUCAAAAAAAAAAAAAAAAAAAAAAAAA